CCUGGCAGCAAUAGCGAGUGGGAACCACCCGAUUCCAUUUCGAACUCGGAAGUGAAAACGCUCAGCGCCGAUGGUAGUGUGGGGUCUCCCCAUGUGAGAGUAGGACACUGCCAGGC
rnacentral:rRNA from 1 species